rnacentral:lncRNA from 1 species
GGCUCGGGGGAGGGGAGUGACUUUUGCAUUACCACAUAAUGUGGUUAAGGUCCGCUCGCCUGACAGAACAAAACUUGCAGUGCGAAUUAGGGUACAUCCCGGGGUAAAUUUUGUGGCGUAAGGCAGGGGAAAGAAAAUUGCGGGUUUGGAGUCUACGCCAUAGAACCUCGCGCCUGCGUGAGGACCGACGUAGUUUGCUGGCAGUGU